UUAGUAGAGACGGGGUUUCACUAUGUUGGCCAGGAUGGUCUCGAUCUCUUGACCUUGUGAUCCGCUGUCUCUUCUUGCCACGCAGUUCUGCAACCCGUCCUACACAGAGUGACAGCAGCAAAACUGUGGUGGUGGUGGUGAUUGUUUUCCUUUUUCUUGCUAAGUUUUAUGACUGAAACCCAUUAACAUUGAUCUCAACCAUUUGAGUUGUUUGGGGGUACACUAGGGGUUCCAGAAAAUGAGUUACCAUCAGAUUUCAUCUAUUUCUGGUUGAUCUAUAAGUGUUGGACUUUCAUAGACCUCCAUCCAACUGACUGAAAAUUUUCAAACAGGCAGCAAAGAUAGAAGCAUAGUACAAUGAACACCUGUAGACUGUCUCCCUGGCUCUAACCAUUGUUUAUAUUUUGUCAUAUACAGUUUUCUCUCUCUCUCUCUGUACACACACACACACACACACACACACAUUUUGUUUUGAUUUUUUCUUAACCAUUUGAAAGUAAAUUGUAGGCUGAGUGUGGUGGCUCAUGCCAGUAAUCCCAGCACCUUGGGAGGCUGAAGCAGGCAGAUCACUAGGUCAGGAGUUCGAGACCAGCUUGACCAACAUGGUGAAACCCCGUCUUUACUAAAAAUACAAAAAUUAGUCAGGCGUGGAGGCACGCACCUGUAACGCCAGCUACUUGGGAGGCUGAGGCAGGGGAAUUGCUUGAACCCAGGAAGUGGAGGUGGCAGUGAGCCAAGAUCACACCAUUGCACUCCAGCCUGGGUGACAGAGCGAGACUCCGUCUCAAAAAAAAAAAGAAAAGAAAAGAAAAACAAAGAAAAAAGAAGGUAAAUUGUAAAUUGUAAAUGAUCAUGAUACUUGACUAUAAAUAUUUCAUUAGAUGUCUACCAAGGACAUUCUCCUAUGUAUCUGCGACACCAUUAUCAUACCUCAUAACAUUAAUUUUUAAAAAAAUUAACUCUAGCGUCAUCUACUAUCCAGUUCAUAUUCACGUUUUCCCAAUUGCAUCCAAAACAUCUUUUAUAGCUUUUUUAAAAAAAUAAAAAAUAAAGCAGGAUCUAAUCAAAGAUCAGUAUGUUCAUUGUUACGUCUUUUUAUCAACUUCAAUCUAGAACAGUCUCCCAGACUUUUUGUUAUGACUGACUUUCUGAAGGGCCUAGCUGAGUUGUCUUAUAGACAACCCCACAGCCUGGAUUUUUUUUUCUCUCUCUCUCUCUGCAGAUUUGUUUUUGUGUGUUUUUUGUUUUUUGUUUGUUUGCUGCAACCUCCACCUCCCGGGUUCAAGCGAUCCUCCUGCCUUAGCCUCACGAGUAGCUGAAAUUACAGGCAUGCGCCACCACACCCAGCUAAUUUUGUAUUUUUAGUAGAGACGAGGUCUCUCCAUGUUGGUCAGGGUGGUCUUGAACUCCCAGCCUCAGGUGAUCCACCUGCCUCGGCCUCCCAAAGUGCUGGGAUUACAGGUGUGAGCCACCAAGCCUGGCCCAGGUUUUUUUAGUUGAGCAAUGUUACUACCUUGUUGAAGGUAAGAAAGUGUGUCUCUGCCAAUAGGCAAUUUCCUCAAGAUAUGUUGCCAUGCAGGUUUAUUGACAUCUUAUCUACUCCUAAAAAGAAUUUGAGGCAGUUUAUAAUAAAAGAGAAAGUCUGUUGAAAAAAAGAGAAAAUAUUUUCUUAACAUGUAGAAGGAUGGUGGGUGGGAGGAAGGAGGGGAAUAGAGGUGCUAUAAACACAUUAGUGUCGUUCGUAUAACUAAACGCAAAAUUUCACUUUAAAAUGAGUUCAGUCGAGGUAACUUGAUUUCUGCAUCUAACACGAGGGAGAACUGAGGAUGGGUGGGCUGCCUGGCUCCCACUCUUGUCCUCAGUCCCCUACUGUCUCCCUCGGCCUUCCCUGGGCAGGUCCUCAGGUACAGGCAGAUGUCAGCUGGACCCCAGAUGAGGAAACAGAGCAGGUGCAAGGCUGGACCUCAAGGAUGAAGCUAAGCCUGAGUCAGGGGCUGUCCCAGACAGACAGCUCCUCAUCCAACAACCUCCCCACAGAGCUGGGCUGCAGCUGAACUUGCAUUUUAUGAUAAUUGCUUUUUCAGUCUGCUUAAGUGCUGAACAGCACAGCAGGGCUGCGUUCUCCUCCCCUGGAGAACGUUUACAGAUGGUGUUGCAGUGAGGAUGGAUUCCUGUACUUUCCGAGGGUGGGGGAGCACCGUGUUGUCCUUUCAUGCCACUUUGCCUCCUGUCAGUCCCAUGGGGUGGGUUUGCUCUAAGGUGUACCUGUGGCUAACCCGAAGGGUUUCAUAUGGCCAUUUGAACUGCAGAAAGUGCUGCCAAAACAUACAAAAUUCAUGUGCUUUGAGAUAAUAAUUUUUCAGUUGCUUAUACAUGACGUUACAGAAAUUGUUGGCCACAGAGAAAAAAUUCCCCAUGAUCUCACCACUCCUGAAACCAACUAAGUCACCUGCUCAGAGCCACUCUCUGUGGACUCCCUUCUGCAUUAAAGGAAAUGCACCUGUUCAUCUCCUUUCUAGAAUAAAACAUGACUAUACAUGUCAUUUAGAUGUGUAUGUGUAUGCAUACCUAUAUAUUUGUAUUCUUUUGUGGUCUUUAAAUGUAUUUUUAUAGUUAUAAUUCACAUACCAUUUUGUACAGUACUUUUUCUCACUUAAUUUUAUAGCUCAUGCUUUUUUCCAUUACCAUGUGGUCUUUAUAAAUCAUUUUUAUUUGUAUUUUAUUUUUUACUUUUAUUUAUUUAUGUAUUUAUUUUUGAGAGAGUCUCACUCUGUCACCUAGGCUGGAGUGCAGUGGUGCAAUUUCAGCCCACCACAACCUCCACCUCCCAGGUUCAAGUGAUUCUCGUGCCUCAGCCUCCCAAGUAGAUGGGACUAUAGGCACCUGCCACCACCCCCAGCUAAUUUUUGUAUUUUUAGUAGAGACAGCGUUUCGCCAUGUUGUCCAGACUGGUCUCAAACUCCUGACCUCAGGUGAUCCGCCCCCUCAGCCUCCCAAAGGGCUGGGAUUACAGGCAUGAGCCACCACACCCAGCCCACAAAGCAUUUUUAAAAAUGGAUAAAUGAUUUUCUAUUGAAUCAAUGCACUGUAAUUUAACUCAUCCCAUUUUCAGGCAAAGUCUGUUGUUUCCACCUCUCCUUUUCAUCCAUUAUCAUUCACACUUCCCUAGCCAUAAUUACACAAUAAGAUCAAUGGCUUGCCACAACCCUUCCUGGCUUGUGAUGGUUAGAUUACGCUGGCCUCAGGGAGGGAGAUGGUUGCAUUUCCUCUUGGUAUGGCUGGGAAAGAUGCAACCCACUCAAUAUUUAAAUAUAAGGGGCGGGGACACAGCCUCUUUACACAGCCUGAGACUGACACCUUGCCCAGGGGAAUGAGCAAGAGCAGGAUUGAACCCAGAGCUGGGUGGCAUCGUGAAAAUGGGACACUCAGGGUAUCAGUGACAAAUAAUUUAGAGGCUGCUUGCCCCUGGAGUAGAAUGUCUGGCACAUAAGGCCAGGUGUGCGCCUCGCUGAGGAGUCUGUGCGUCAUCUUGAUGGGAUGGUGCCAUGGUGAUUGUCAGCCAGCCUCUCCUUAUUGCCCGCUCACCCCACACACAAGGCAUGUUGAUAUGGAAGAGAGACUUGAAGGAUUGCCAGGCAUCGGCCACACAGAAGAUGUGACGGGGAGUUGUCCUAAACCCAUAUGUUUUUAUCAUCCUGUACUUGUCAAAGAGCUUUGAAGUUCACGACCUUGCUCUGGUUCCCACGGGGGGAUCGUCCUGGGCUUCCAUCAUCCCUUUUUCCUGUCAACCGUGUGUUGCAUGCAGAUGCCACCCCCAUGCCUUGCCGGAGACUCCCCUAAAAAGCUGGGAUUAUGUCUUUGAAAUUAUUAAUUUUCAUGAAUAGCAUGAAAAAAUUUUUUUGUAAUCCCAGCUACUCGGGAGGCUGAGGCAGGAGAAUCGCUUGAACCCGGGAGGCGGAGUUUGCAGUGAGCUGAGAUCGCGCCAUUGCCCUCCAGCCUGGGCAACAAGAGUGAAACUCUGUCUCAAAAAGAAAAAAAAAAAUUUAAAGCCACUUCACUCCAGUGAACUAAGCUAUUGCAAUUUUUCUGUGUUCAGUUCUAGUCCUCAGCUGCACAGGCACGUCAGAUCUUACCAAUUUAUUUAAGUUUUAUUUUAAGUUCAGGGGUACAUGUGCAGGUCGGUUAUAUAGGUAAACUUGUGCCGUGGAGGUUUAUUGUAUAGAUUAUUUCAUCACCCAGGUAUUAAGCCUAGUACACAUUAGUUAUUUUUCCUGAUCCUCUCCCUCCUCCCACCCUUCACCCCCAGGUAGGCCCCAGUGUGUGUGGUUCCCCUCUAUGUGUCCAUGUGUUCUCAUCAUUUAGCUCCCACUUAUAAGUGAGAACAUGCAGUUUCUGGUUUUCUGUUCCUGCAUUAGUUUGCUAAAGAUAAUGGCCUCCAGCUCCACCCACGUUCCUACAAAGGACAUGAUCUGGCUCUUUUUUAUGGCUGCAUAGUGUUCCAGGAGGUCUUACCAAUUUAUUACCAUGGUGACGUUGCCACCCUGCAUUCUGUUUGCUCAUUUUCUCUAAUGUGGUCUCAUCAUCAAUAUUUUCCCACGUGGUACAAUGUCUACGUAAUCACCAUUUUAACAGCUCUGUGCCCAUCCAGAGAAUGGGCGCGCCCCACUUUAAACUCUCGAUGCUGGACACAGAAACUGAGUUCACAAUUGUAAGCCGGAAGCAUCUUCAGGCACAUGGAGUAUUUGGCCUACAGAGGACAUUAACAGAUGGAGUUUAGUGGUUAACAGUUGGUCACACCCAAUGUCACCAACCUGGCACCUAAGGGUGCACUGUGGGGAGCACCCUCCUGGCCAUGUGUCCAGAGCAUCCCCUGCCCGUGCAGACCAUCCAGCCACUCUCUGCCUGGCUGGACCCUGGCAUUCCCAGGUCCUCUUCCCACACUUGCGGAGGGAAGGCACAGCCAGAUGUGCAGCCCCACCCGAGCUAAGCCCUGCUCCAUUACCGACCGGCCCCACCGAAUGUGUUUUCUGUGUAGUUCGUGGCUACGCUCUGGAAUUUCAGACCACGCUGAAUUUACUUGUUUUAUGGCUAGGAAUUUCAGGAGGAGCACCACAGAUGUUAAACGCAGGAGUCUCUUGGUGCUAGUAAAAUAAACCUUACUCAAACAGGGGUGUCGUGACUCAAAGGGUUAGAUAGCCCAUGAUACAGGAUGUCGGUCACCAAUGCAGAUGUUGUAAGUUGAGUCAUUUGACAGCAUGGUAACUUUAUAUGGCCAGAGAGCCAGCUGUGACUAUUUAAAGGGAUGGGGGGUCAGGGGGAAUGCAUUUUUAUUUCUAGACAAAUAUAUUUCUGAUCGUAACUUAAAUACUUUCUUUUAGUCAAAAUACUGAUUUUUCUUUCUCCCCGCAUUCUCGAAAGAGAAGCCCUUCCUAUCCUUUUGGCGUUCAACCCCACCAAACUGGCUUCACAUUAGAGACCCUGCAAGGCUUAAAUUAGAACCUCACUUUUGAAACCUGUUGGAAGGACUUUUUUUUUAAUUUUAUUAUUAUUAUACUUUAAGUUUUAGGGUACAUGUGCACAACAUGCAGGUUUGUUACGUAUCUAUACAUGUGCCAUGUUGGUGUGCUGCACCCGUUAACUCGUCAUUUAGC
rnacentral:lncRNA from 1 species